GCCAUCAUUCAGUUGGGCACGUCUAAGGGACUGCCGGUGUUAAGCCGGAGGAAGCGGGACGACGUCAAGUCAUCAUGGCCUUUAUAUCCGGGCUACACACGUGCUACAAUGGGCGGUACAAAGGGCUGCCAACCGCAAGGGGAGCUAAUCCCAAAAAGCCGUCCUCAGUUCAGAUUGGAGUCUGCAACUCGACUCCAUGAAGUCGGAAUCGCUAGUAAUCGCGGAUCAGCACGCCGCGGUGAAUACGUUCCCGGGCCUU
rnacentral:rRNA from 1 species